rnacentral:rRNA from 1 species
CAGCAGCCGCGGUAACACGUAGGUGGCAAGCGUUGUCCGGAAUUAUUGGGCGUAAAGCGCGCGCAGGCGGCCUACCCAGUCUGUCUUAAAAGUUCGGGGCUCAACCCCGUGAUGGGAUGGAAACUAGUAGGCUAGAGUAUCGGAGAGGAAAGCGGAAUUCCUAGUGUAGCGGUGAAAUGCGUAGAUAUUAGGAAGAACACCAGUGGCGAAGGCGGCUUUCUGGACUGCAACUGACGCUGAGGCUCGAAAGCGUGGGGAGCAAACAGGAUUAGAUACCCCAGUAGUCCCUGUCUCUUAUACA